GCCAGUAUGGUGGUUAGAACACUCGACUUUUAAUCGAGGGAGCUCGGAUUCGAAUCCCGAAUAAGCA